rnacentral:lncRNA from 1 species
GCAUUGUAUAUAAACCACUCACGUCUCAGUUAAAAGUAUCAGAUGCUCAUGCGAUCAAUCACGCGAUAGAAAAGGUCGCAAAAUUUCAUUUCUCUUUUCCGCAAGAGACACAAAACAAACACGUUUUAGCAUUGCAAAGUUAGUUCAAACCGCUCUUUACUUGGGAGUUUUUGUCCCUUUGUUCAGCUAUCGAAGACAUCAAACAGGGUUCAGCCGCGUUAAUGAAGUUGAAUACGUGCCACUCGUAACCGAAAGGACACUAAGUAAACUGUUCCAGCAGAUUCUUCACGCUUUAUUAGCGGACUAAGCUCUGCCACGGCCGAUGAAUAGAUUAGUUUGAGUCGGUUUGCUCCAGCAUCGUAAACAAGGUGCACGUUUACCAUGGUGAAAAUUUAAGGGCUUGAGACCCUGUACCUGUGCCAUUCAGCCACGAAGAAUCAACAUUCCGGAUGUCAUCAAAAUGCGUCUGAAGGAGCAACAUGUAAUUAAGAACGUGCGCCUAAGUAAAACAGCGUCCAUCUACUUAGGCCGCACAAUCUUAACUUGUCAGUAUGAAAGAAAGAAUCAUAAUAGCCAAAAAUCCGAGAAAGAAAUCUGCAAACUCUUCAAAAAGAAUUUCAAGAUUGGACACACUGGCUUCAAAACCUUUGCUUGACUGCGAAAGAUUGAAACAAGCAGAGACAGGCAAAAAGGAACAAAGAGGUGGUCAUGAUUGUGAAAUCAACAGUGUUAAGAUCCAAGAAAAAAAAAAACCUCGAUAGGAAUUCAAAAUUGACUACAAAAGACAGACUACAAAGUGGUGGUCAAGAUUGGGAAUGCGGCUAACAAAGGAUGACGGUCGAUAUGUCAGACUUUCACAAAGGAUCCCAACAAAAGAGGCACAACAGAAGCCUACAAUACAAUGAAGUAUGAGAGCAGCCCCGAAGAGUACUCCCACUUGCUUCGUUCUCUGAGAAGACCCCUUCGUCUCAUAUGCAACCAUAUGUAUCUUCGAUGCCCAGAAUGUGGAGAAAGAUUCCGAAGAUUACAUGUGGUUCUGUAUGUUCCAACUUAUCAUAGAUACCAUGAUGUCAGAGGAUGGCAAGGAAGAGACUUUGUAACAGACGCCCUGUAAAGAUUGCAGCCGGGUCUUAAAAUUGCUGUGUUUUUCCAGUGAACCACUCUACACCUUCGUCCCACAAUCUUAUUUACUCUCUUGUUAUUAAAUUGUACAUAUUUCAGGCAAAGGUUCGAUAAUUUUGAAGUAAAUAUUGUAAAAAAAAUAGCCAAUUUAUAUAAUGUUAAAAUAAAAAUUAAGAUAGAAACUACAGUUACUCGGGUUUCACGCUUAAAGCGAUCAUCAGACUGUGCGACGGUUUAAACUAAAUUGAAACUAAUUUUUGAACGGAGUACGGAGCGAUCCUGCUUCUGAUUGGCUGCAUAGAACUUAUUCACGUGCCUGCAUUUUGUUACAAGUUCAGAUAUUUUGUUUAGAGGUGUAGAUUUGCCCUUAGAUAGAAUGUAGCGUUUUUCUGUCACAGCUUCAAAACUAGAUACAAUAAUCACAAGCUUUCAUUUAAACAUCGCAAGCAUUCACAUGACACUGUCCUGUCCAACUAUAUCUGGGACUUGAAAGACAAUAACACUGAUUUCUCGAUCAAGAGGUCUAUUGUAACGCGAGCAAGUCCGUACAAGGGAACCUCGUCACGCUCCAAUUUGUGUCUGACAGAAGACAGAGUAACUGUAGUUUCUAUCUUAAUUUGUAUUUCGCUCUACAUGUAUUUGUAUCGAGCACUCCUACGAUUGUGUGAAACCACUUCUAUUUUUCUUUAUUUAUAAUAUUAAUAUAUAUAUAU